rnacentral:lncRNA from 1 species
CGCCGGUCCCGCCGCGGCGGGAGAGGGAGCGGGGCGAGUCCAGCGGGAUUCACCUUCCCGCCUGCGGGACUGUCGGGAGGCACACGGGACGCUCGUUAGCUCCGUGGCUCCACGGAUAACUUCUUGUCAGAGUGUGAACCGUGUUUCCAGUACGGGGUAAACAUGAAGAAGCACUGUCUUGUGACUGGUCAGCAGAGAGCAGCUCAGCAGUCACAGCUUUUCUCAGGGGUCAGUACUGCAGCCUGUAGGCAGAGCCAGUGUGGUGGUGGGGGCAGACCAACUACAGCUACAGUAGCUCUUCCUGCAAGAGCUUUCCAAGCUCAUGGAGUAAGUGAUGAGAUUGGGAACCACUGUGUCCUGCUUAAGGAAUAGCAAUGGAAGCAAACACAUUGACAUACAGACUGGCUAAUGGAGACCCCAAAAACAUAAAGAACAAAUGGGGCUGAUGAAGAAAGCAGGGAUGCCCUUGUGAGAAGAGAAGGGUGGGAUGAAGAGAAAGCCAUUUUGAGGGUAUGCCAUAUGAAGACCCAGGCUACUGCAAUUUCUCAGGGUGGGGGACCACAAAAGUAUGGUGAAGCUCUGUAAGAAGUACAUGCUGUAGGCCUGAAGUGAUUUUUGGUUGGUAACAUACGAUAUUUUAAGAAGAGUCUUAAACUUUCAAGCCCUUCACCUAAAUUCUGAAAACAUAGAGUUUUUCAAUAGUGUGCCUACAUCUGGUAGUUGCAGGAAACUGCCAGUUCCUUGACUCUAGAAUCAUAUUUAAUAUUCCAGCAUAUACAGGAUGCAUACUCUUGUUUCCCCAGAAUGCCCUGAGCUUCUUUUCAAAUUCCUGAUAAAGAAUUAUAAGAAGACUUCAGUAUACACAUUUAUGUAGUUUCUUUAGAGCCAAACUUUACAGAAAAUAACUUAGAUCUGUGUAAAGGACACUGUGACUUGCAUCUAAAAUUGCGUGUGACAUCUUGCACUGGUCAUCAGUUUUUUUUCAUUUUGAAAGCAUAACUUUGCCUAUUGCCUUCAUUUUUAGAGAAUGCUUCCUUCUAUCAUAUUUUCAUACCUAUUCCUGACGCAAGGCUUACAGAGUUCCUGCCAACAUAGCUUUUUAUUUCCACUAAGAACACCUCACCCAGGAACAACAGUGAUGAUUAUCUUGAAUAAAGGCAUUGGCUCUUUUUCA